rnacentral:tRNA from 1 species
GGGGGUAUAGCUCAGUGGUAAGAGCAUGUGCUUGGCACACACGAGGUCCUGGGUUCAAUCCUCAGUACUUCCA